rnacentral:rRNA from 1 species
UACAGAGGUCUCAAGCGUUGUUCGGAUUCAUUGGGCGUAAAGAGCGCGCAGGCGGCCAAGUCAGUCGAAUGUGAAAGCCCCCGGCUCAACUGGGGAGGGUCAUUCGAUACUGCUCGGCUCGAAGACAGGAGAGGGAAGUGGAAUUCCCGGUGUAGUGGUGAAAUGCGUAGAUAUCGGGAGGAACACCAGUGGCGAAGGCGGCUCACUGGCCCGAUACUGACGCUGAGGCACGAAAGCGUGGGGAGCAAACAGG